rnacentral:rRNA from 1 species
CUCUGAUGUUAGCGGCGGACGGGUGUGUAACACGUGGAUAACCUACCUAUAAGACUGGGAUAACUUCGGGAAACCGGAGCUAAUACCGGAUAAUAUUUUGAACCGCAUGGUUCAAAAGUGAAAGACGGUCUUGCUGUCACUUAUAGAUGGAUCCGCGCUGCAAUAGCUAGUUGGUAAGGUAACGGCUUACCAAGGCAACGAUGCAUAGCCGACCUGAGAGGGUGAUCGGCCACACUGGAACUGAGACACGGUCCAGACUCCUAAGGGAGGCAGCAGUAGGGAAUCUUCCGCAAUGGGCGAAAGCCUGACGGAGCAACGCCGCGUGAGUGAUGAAGGUCUUCGGAUCGUAAAACUCUGUUAUUAGGGAAGAACAUAUGUGUAAGUAACUGUGCACAUCUUGACGGUACCUAAUCAGAAAGCCACGGCUAACUACGUGCCAGCAGCCGCGGUAAUACGUAGGUGGCAAGCGUUAUCCGGAAUUAUUGGGCGUAAAGCGCGCGUAGGCGGUUUUUUAAGUCUGAUGUGAGAGCCCACGGCUCAACCGUGGAGGGUCAUUGGAAACUGGAAAACUUGAGCGCAGAAGAGGAAAGUGGAAUUCCAUGUGUAGCGGUGAAAUGCGCAGAGAUAUGGAGGAACACCAGUGGCGAAGGCGACUUUCUGGUCUGUAACUGACGCUGAUGUGCGAAAGCGUGGGGAUCAAACAGGAUUAGAUACCCUGGUAGUCCACGCCGUAAACGAUGAGUGCUAAGUGUUAGGGGGUUUCCGCCCCUUAGUGCUGCAGCUAACG